rnacentral:rRNA from 1 species
UACAGAGGUCUCAAGCGUUGUUCGGAUUCAUUGGGCGUAAAGGGUGCGUAGGUGGCGCUGUAAGUCGGGUGUGAAAUUUCGGAGCUUAACUCCGAAACUGCAUUCGAUACUGCGGUGCUUGAGGACUGGAGAGGAGACUGGAAUUCAUGGUGUAGCAGUGAAAUGCGUAGAGAUCAUGAGGAAGACCAGUGGCGAAGGCGGGUCUCUGGACAGUUCCUGUCACUGAGGCACGAAGGCCAGGGGAGCAAACGGG